AUACUUACCUGGCAGGCGAGAUACCAUGAUCAUGAAGGUGAUUUUCCCAGGGCGAGGCUUAUCCAUUGCACUCCAGAUGUGCUGACCCCUGCGAUUUCCCCAAAUGUGGGAAACUCGACUGCAUAAUUUGUGGUAGUGGAGGACUGCGUUCAUGCUUUCCUCUG
rnacentral:snRNA from 1 species